rnacentral:rRNA from 1 species
AUGGCAAUGUUUCUUCGCCAUCAAAAACCCCACCUUCCGCAGGCUGCACGCCGCCAGCCAAGCCGUCGCGACGGCGCCGUCGGAGGUGCUGCUCGUGUCGGAGCGUCAGGACAAGCACCGCUGCUUCGUCAAGACCAGCAUCAACGUCUCGCUGCAAAAGCCCAUGUGCCGCAUUUCCUUGCCGCCGGAGUACCACCUUACCAACGGCUGCGGGUGUUCCUCUGCUUUGCGCCAGCGACAAUGCACAUGGAGGGGUGGCCAGUGUUCAUGUGCAACCCCAUCACCGGCGAGAGGCUGCCACUCCCCAGGCCGCCUAUGUGCGGCUUGGACGAUCUCUUCGCCUUGGGAUUCAGCCCGUCCACCCAGGAGCUCAAGCUGUUUCGGUAUACUGGAACAGGGUUAAUGACGACUGAUAAUAACAAAUACCUGGACGUAUACACCUUGGGAGAGCCCAGCGGGUGGCGCCAACGCCCCAACCUCUCCCGGCACAGCCCCGUGCAUGGCAGCCAUCGGCCGGUGCUCGUCGACGGCAAGCUAUAUGUGCUGAUUGACAGGAACGAUAGAGAUGGCAGACGGAAUUUGCAGGAUACUGGUGAUUGA